rnacentral:rRNA from 1 species
AGUGAACGCUGGCGGUAGGCCUAACACAUGCAAGUCGAACGGCAGCACAGUAAGAGCUUGCUCUUACGGGUGGCGAGUGGCGGACGGGUGAGGAAUACAUCGGAAUCUACUUUUUCGUGGGGGAUAACGUAGGGAAACUUACGCUAAUACCGCAUACGACCUACGGGUGAAAGCAGGGGAUCUUCGGACCUUGCGCGAUUGAAUGAGCCGAUGUCGGAUUAGCUAGUUGGCGGGGUAAAGGCCCACCAAGGCGACGAUCCGUAGCUGGUCUGAGAGGAUGAUCAGCCACACUGGAACUGAGACACGGUCCGGCCUCCUACGGGAGGCAGCAGUGGGGAAUAUUGGACAAUGGGCGCAAGCCUGAUCCAGCCAUGCCGCGUGGGUGAAGAAGGCCUUCGGGUUGUAAAGCCCCUUUGUUGGGAAAGAAAAGCAGCAGGUUAAUACCCCGCUGUUCUGACGGUACCCAAAGAAUAAGCACCGGCGAACUUCGU